CAACCGGCUGCAGCCACACAGCGCUGCUCUACCUACUCCAAUCCAUACACACACAUCAAUGGCGCAAUUUUCUUCAUAAAAAUACAAUUUAGCGAUACAGAAGCUCCCCCUAGGACUGUGCAGCCGUGUAAGAAGCUGCCUCUAGUGGAGCUUAGACGUUAGAAAAUCUGGUUCACUGUGGGGAACUGUAUAUGCUGCCUGUCGUGGUGGAGUUUAAACGUUAGAAAACCUAGUUUAGUUUGGGGAACUGAAUAAGCUGCCUCUAGUGAAGAUUACUAAACCAACCAAUGUGGAGUUAAUAAAGGAAAUGCAUGCCAGAAGACUUCCCAGACUGAACACAGAUCCGUACAGGGAAGAGUAUGAGAACAGCAGUUACACUAAGAAUAAAUUUCGUGCCUUCAAUCAGCACAGCACCGACAGGAAAUCAAUUCUUAUACUUUUUUAUUAU